rnacentral:lncRNA from 1 species
AUUUCUAUUUUUCUGAGAUGGAAAACGGCUCAUGAUUGCCUGUUCCCCGAGUGAGAGCGUCCGUGGAGUCAGUCCUGCAGUACAUCUGGUACUAUCAGAUCUAUCAAGAGAGACUCGGCUUAGGCAAUGCAUCCAGCAACCUACAGAUAGUAAAUGGGGAUGCCAAAUCCAUAUUGAGACUUAGCGAGGUGGCUUGAGGCAAACAAAUAUGGAUCUGACAGGGAUGCUGCAGUGUGGUUCGAAAGAUAACAUGCAUACCCAAAAAUUGAUGGAGCUCUAUAAUGUAAUGAAAGAGAGCCAGUGAGUUUCGCUGGUAUCUGUGUCAGCCAGGAUCUCCUCAUUCCAGAAGAAUAACUGCAGGGGUCUGGGGUAUCCUUGUGUAUGAACCAGGAAAUGGCGAAGCUUGUUCUAAGCUCACUUGAAGCCAAAUUACAAAGGAGCAGACGGGAUCCCAGAAACAAAGAUCGUACCAGCUACGAUUUAAGAUUCCAAGAAGAUGAAUCUGGAGUGGACCAAAAUCUGGUGUAGAGACUUAUACCCUGUGUCAGCCAGCUGCCUGUGACCGCGACAAACAUCUGAGUCAUGUUUGUUGACUCAACAAACAUGGGUCAAUUUAAGGAGAGGAACUGGGAGAUGGCCCGGAUGGUAAAGCACUUGCUGGGUAAGAAUGAGAGACUGCGAUCAGGUCCCCAGUACCAAGGUAAAAAGCUGGCUGCAG